rnacentral:tRNA from 1 species
GGCCGUUUGGCUCAAUGGUAGAGCGUCCGCCUCCUAUUAGUAAUGGUCAAGCGGAAGGUUGUGGGUUCGAGUCCCAUGAUGGUCG